UGAAAGGGGAGAUCAUAUUUACUUUUCUAGAGCAGCGAGGCGGCUUUGGAAUUGGCUGAAAAGCUAAAUCUGCUCCUUGUGAAAGUAGCUAUGAACAUUGAGCUGUACUUUUCUCCAUAAAUGUCGGGACAUUAGCCUUUAAUGCAGCAAUGAAUGCUACAUCUAGUCGAACACAAAGCAUAUCUCCGGGCUCAUCCACUUUACAAACAUUUGGAAAGAAAUAUGACGUUAACAGCGUGGCCAAGGAAUCUCUGAUGAGGGAUGCCAAUGUCUCAGACUCUUCCAUUCUUGGAUAUCCAAGAGCUCCUGCAUUUGGUGUUCCAAGAAACUCACACUUUGCCACCCCAAGAUUUGAUUCUUAUUCCUUCGGCCAACCAGCAGUAUCCAUAUCAGGGAGCAAAGGCUUACUUUACUUUAUGUCCGUUCAAUGUGCAUUACCAUAUGCUCUACAUUGAUUUGAAAUCCAUGUUGAUCUUUUGUUAAAUAUUAGUACCAAGUACUAUUCAUUCCUACUUCAUAUUUUUGGACAUCCUAAGUGUUUAAUCUUUAGAUCAAAUUUGCAAACUAGGAAAAGAAAGUACAGCACCUUUGCUCAAGAGCUCUGGUUUUGUAAAGUCCGCAUUUGGUAUUAAUCAGAAAGGAAGCAGAACAGCAUCAUACAUUGCAACUCCGGAUAUAGAUUGCACAAUACCUGAUGGUGCAAAAAUUCAAUCCAUUUGUGGAAUGCGGACUUAUAAAGAUAAAAGCCAGGAGGAGUUGAGGUUUGAGGACUACCAGUUAGGUCAGAAAUGUGGUUCUUCAUGUGGUAUUUCCGGUACACAGGGAUUUGGUAUCAUCGACAACACACGGCCUUUCAUAUCACCAGUAUUUAACCAAGCAACUGUUGAUCAACUUUUUUAUUCCCUUUUUCCAAGUACAUUUGUAGUGGAAAGAGCAGAGGUUGACUCUCUAUCAGAUGAAAUUUCUACAGCAACUGCAUCUACCCCAUUUCCCAUAUAUUUCCCCCCAAUACAUCAUUGUUAAACUCUUGUGGCACUGGAAGUAGAGUGGAAUCUACUGCCUCAGAUGUUUCUUUUUCUCCGUGGAUCCAUUCAAGGCCGUUUGCACCUUUAAAUCCAUCUUCCAAUUCUUCCACUACCUCCACCUUUUCUCCAUUAAGGAAUCCAUGGUCUUUAUCAACAUCUGUCCCUCUAUCUCCAUGUUCAGUCUCACCUUCCACAUAUCCUUUGUUAGCAAAAUCAUCUGCCCAUGUUUUUGGUCAAAAGAACUCUUUUUCUCCCACUCCUGUCUUAACUACAGGAGGCGCUCCACAAUCCACAUUAUGCUUGCAUUGCCUAAAGCAGUCUCAGCCUACUCCACCAGGACUUUGUAAUGUUUCAAGCACUCCACUUGCUGUGAGUCAAAAUACUGUUUCAUUGAGAUUUGUCUACUUAGCUUUGGGAUUGUGGCCAGCUGCAUUUUUUUAGGUCCCUUGUUGGAUGAUCUCUGGUGAAAGACAACCUUCUCGAAUAAGGAGUCUCUAUCUGAAAACUAUUUUGCGGCAAGAUUUAGCUUUCUGUGAUAAGGAAACCAAUAUGGGAGAGGUGGGGGGGGAGGAUGUCUGGUGAUGCUCUUCUUAUACAAGACGCCAUGGGUGAGUAGGUAGGGAAAUUUGUAUAGCUGACAUCAACAUUCCUUGCGGGCUUUGUCAUUGCAUUUACCAAAGGCUGGCUUCUCACACUUGUUAUGUUAUCCAUCAUUCCUCUACUUGUCGUCAUCUUUGGUGGAGUGAUGUCCUUCAUCCUAUCUAGGAUGGUGUCCCGUGGACAAGAUGCUUAUGCCAAGGCAGCAACGGUGGUUGAACAGACAAUUGGCUCCUUUAAAAUGAAAAUAACCACCAGUAGAUGAGAUGUAUCUUGUUUCCUUCUCAGGCUGCAUCUUUUACAGAGGAAAAGCAAGUUGUGGCCAGCUAUAACGAGUCCCUAAUUAAAGAUUACCAUUCAGGUUCAAAUGAAGGGCUGGCAAGUAGAUUAGGUCUUGGGUCGCAUUUUGCUACAUAAACAUUUUGCUAUUAUGUACUCCAGCUAUGCUUUGUCUAUCUGGUACGGUGCAAGGUUCAUCUUGGAAAAAGGAUAUAUUGGUGGUCAAGUUCUCAAUGUUUCCGAUGCGAAGCUUCUCCAUUAAGUAGCAAGCGAUUUACUUUUUAAGGGAGAAUUUUCUGCAAAAAGGUGUGAUGCUGGUGGUGAAUUGGCGAUGCAUGAGAGGAAUACUACUUGGUGGGAUGAAUAGGAAAGUUCUCGAUCUAUCCUUCAGGUUGAAGCCAAAGGAACUUUCUGUUUAGACGGCUUUUGCUGUAGGAUGUAGAACUCCCAAAAAUCGGAAAAGUGUAAAAGCAAUGGGGGCAGUUAGGCUUGUUUUCAAUUUGAAGCUGAAGUGCCAGAAAGCAAUACUACAAGAAAGGCUCUAUGCCUAUUCCUAACUUCUGAUGUAGGACAUCACAACUGAUAUCUUCUUCUCAGUUGGGAAAAACUUGGUCCAUAUAGUUGUGCUUCUUAUGCAACUAAUGUUCUAAAUGAAACUUACAAGAUGACUGAUUUAUUACUCCAAAAUAGUGUUUUUAGUUUACUCUUCUAAAUUUUCCAUUCUUUUAAAGUGCAUCUCCGUUCUCCGGGUUGUGUGUACUGAAGGACCUGAGAAAAAUUAGAGAACUGGGUGCUAUGGGUGCUUCGUUCGAUCAUGGGGAGGAUGGCAAUCUGCAUCUAGCCAGGGAAGGGGGCCACUCCCAUCACCGAAUUGUCUAUGCUGCUGAUAUUAUAGGCAGAGAGAUAGAAAGGGCCCUAUUAGAGGCAGAUGUUAAGGAUCCUAAUAGAUAUGUGUUUGAACACCAUUUUGCUAUAGAUUUGUUGACCACUCAGGUAAGUUUAUUCCUUUGUAGCAACUGUUUGCAUUAGUUAUUAUGGUGAAAACUUUUCUGUUCUAUCAUCAAUUUGGUCCAAAAUGAAGGGUUGUUGCUUUAAUCUAAUUAAACUUGGCAUUAUUCUUAUGCUUAUGUGUCAUAGUUCACUCAAAUGACAUGCAUUCAAACAGUUGCUAUGUUGGUGAUAUCUGGUUCUUUCACCAAUAACUUUUAUCGUUCUUUGGGUUUAAAGAUAUUCAUGAUUAUGAUGUAUGAAUUUGUGUAGGUGCAUUGAUCAUGAUUC